rnacentral:lncRNA from 1 species
UGAACCCGCCUGUCACGUGACGGUGUCUUUAGUGUCGUCGAGAGCGACCGCGCGCUGGGAGAAGGUUUGUUGAAUGUUAAAGUGAUUUGGAGAAGUUCAGCAGCAGCAGCGUGUUUGUGUGUGUUUUAGUAAACGUUGUGUAACUGCUGGGAAAAUUUAAUAGCUAGACUUUUAAACUAAGGCUGAAGAACUGCGGGAGUUGAGAGUUGGGUGCCGCUGGUUUGUAUUGUAAAUUGUCAGGCUGCCCUUCCUGUGAGCGGCGAGUUUAGGAGACGAAAGUCACGAAGACCAUGGCCGCUCCAGUGUAUCUAGCCGAGGGUGUUCAGGUACGUGGUGGUGACCCAUACUACACAGAGGUCAUCAGCAAGAGGAUGCGGGUGCCUGAACGGCUGAGAGUUGGCCAAGGAGGCCCAGCUGAAGAAACAAGGCCGGAGAAUCUGCAUGCUGUCUACAGCAUGCAUGUACCAGACAGAUUAGCCCUAACAGAUGCUCCUGACCUUAGUCCACGGCCGCUCUUCUCCAAGCAAAGUGCCACAUCAAUGUGGGAUCUGCAGCGUGGAGCGUGGGAUAAAGAGGCACACAUGCGAGAGAGCAUUCAGAGCCCACUACGUAGGUCAUACAGCGACCAGACGUUUGGUAGAACCCCACCAGGAACCCCCACACACUCUAAACAAGCACUGCACUCUCCUUCUGUCAGCCGCAGUGCUGGAAGAGCACCCCCUGUAGGCCCAGACCCGCCCCUGCCCGAGCCCCUGCAGUUCUCCAACCUCCCGCCCAGCCUCCUGUCCCCACAGAGCAUGCUGCAGGCGGCCAGGCAGCUGGGUCAGCGGGCCUCAAAGAAACUCCUCCAGACUGUCACUCAAAAAUACUCCACCAGGUUCGGUUUCCCGGAAAACCCUCCUCCUCAGCCAGUCGAGGUCCACAUUGAUCAGACCAGGAAAAGCACCAUGCAGGAGUCCUGGCUCAGUCCUGAGGAAGAGAAUGGAACUGCAGUCGAGUUCAUCGUGCUUCGCAGACAGGUGCUGAAGAUGAGCAGGCGGAUAGCUGGUCUUGAGAAGCAGAAUGCUGAACGCAAGCAGAACGAACUGGUGCUUCUCACUCUGCUGCUGUCUGCCUGCCUGCUUAAUGGCUGGCUGUGGAUGCGCAGAUAACCCUUCCAAACUCUCAGGCUGAUUAACUCCACUCCUCCAAAUCCACUCCUAGCAGGAAGGGUUCAGGCAGGGAGCCCUGCUACUAAACCAUGCCCUUGUGCAGUACAGUACGGUAUGUCCCAUCCAUUUGGAACCCAUUAGCCGGACUCAACUCAAACCAGGCCAGUUAUCAACCUCACCCACAAGAUAACACCUCACAGCUUAUUCAGGUAGUGGUGGUGUUCCCAAGCCGUCCCAGAGUUAGCACUUCACGAUUAAUUUACAUACUGUUAUCCCAUGACUUUUGGCAUGUUAGUGGAAUGUAGCAAUAGUAGUAUGAAUGACAGUUGGGAAGUU